rnacentral:rRNA from 1 species
CGAACGCUGGCGGCGUGCUUAACACAUGCAAGUCGAACGGAAAGGCCCUGCUUUUGUGGGGUGCUCGAGUGGCGAACGGGUGAGUAACACGUGAGUAACCUGCCCUUGACUUUGGGAUAACUUCAGGAAACUGGGGCUAAUACCGGAUAGGAGCUCCUGCUGCAUGGUGGGGGUUGGAAAGUUUCGGCGGUUGGGGAUGGACUCGCGGCUUAUCAGCUUGUUGGUGGGGUAGUGGCUUACCAAGGCUUUGACGGGUAGCCGGCCUGAGAGGGUGACCGGCCACAUUGGGACUGAGAUACGGCCCAGACUCCUACGGGAGGCAGCAGUGGGGAAUAUUGCACAAUGGGCGGAAGCCUGAUGCAGCAACGCCGCGUGCGGGAUGACGGCCUUUGGGUUGUAAACCGCUUUCGCCUGUGACGAAGCGUGAGUGACGGUAAUGGGUAAAGAAGCACCGGCUAACUACGUG